GGGGAUGUAGUUCAAUGGUAGAACUUCAGCUUCCCAAGCUGAUAGCGCGGGUUCGAUUCCCGUCAUCCCCUCCG
rnacentral:tRNA from 1 species